GAUUAUGGCCUAUACCACAGUGACAACGCCCGAUCUCGUCAGAUCUCGGAAGCUAAGCAGAGUUGGGCUGGGUCAGUACUUGGAUGGGUGACAGCCUGGGAAUACCUGGUGCUGUAAGCA
ensembl:rRNA 5S_rRNA 5S ribosomal RNA